rnacentral:rRNA from 1 species
UACGUAUGGUGCAAGCGCUAUCCGGAUUUACUGGGUGUAAAGGGAGCGUAGGCGGCUUUGCAAGUCUGAUGUGAAAGCCCGUGGCUCAACCACGGUAUUGCAUUGGAAACUGUAGAGUUAGAGUGUCGGAGGGGUAAGUGGAAUUCCUAGUGUAGCGGUGAAAUGCGUAGAUAUUAGGAGGAACACCAGUGGCGAAGGCGGCUUACUGGACGAUUACUGACGCUGAGGCUCGAAAGCGUGGGGAGCAAAC